rnacentral:tRNA from 1 species
UUUCAUCUGGCAGAUAAAUGUAACAAAUUUAGGAUUUGUAGAUAAAUUAAAAAUUUGAUGAAAU